AAUAGAUACCCGGGUAGUCCACGCCGUAAACGAUGAGUGCUAAGUGUUAGGGGGUUUCCGCCCCUUAGUGCUGCAGCUAACGCAUUAAGCACUCCGCCUGGGGAGUACGGUCGCAAGACUGAAACUCAAAGGAAUUGACGGGGGCCCGCACAAGCGGUGGAGCAUGUGGUUUAAUUCGAAGCAACGCGAAGAACCUUACCAGGUCUUGACAUCCCAUUGACCACUAUGGAGACAUAGUUUUCCCUUCGGGGACAACGGUGACAGGUGGUGCAUGGUUGUCGUCAGCUCGUGUCGUGAGAUGUUGGGUUAAGUCCCGCAACGAGCGCAACCCUUGUUCUUAGUUGCCAUCAUUUAGUUGGGCACUCUAAGGAGACUGCCGGUGACAAACCGGAGGAAGGUGGGGAUGACGUCAAAUCAUCAUGCCCCUUAUGACCUGGGCUACACACGUGCUACAAUGGACGGUACAAACGGUUGCCAACCCGCGAGGGGGAGCUAAUCCGGAUAAAACCGUUCUCAGUUCGGAUUGUAGGCUGCAACUCGCCUACAUGAAGCC
rnacentral:rRNA from 1 species